rnacentral:rRNA from 1 species
UGAGUAACACGUAUCCAACCUGCCGUCUACUCUUGACAGCCUUCUGAAAGGAAGAUUAAUACAAGAUGGCAUCAUGAGUCCGCAUGUUCACAUGAUUAAAGGUAUUCCGGUAGACGAUGGGGAUGCGUUCCAUUAGAUAGUAGGCGGGGUAACGGCCCACCUAGUCUUCGAUGGAUAGGGGUUCUGAGAGGAAGUUCCCCCACAUUGGAACUGAGACACGGUCCAA